CCACAAGCUGUUUUUAUCUUUUGCCGCAUGUGCCUGAGGUAUAUGGAUAUGUAGAAAGUUUCAGAUUGUCCGCCGUACAGGGGAGAUGUUGUCGAAAUUUCUUCGGAAGGGACUCCUCCGGGGCGUGACAAUAACUCCUCAUUGUGUGCUCGAGCAAGUAGCCUGAUAACAAGCAAUGUACCUUCCAGUAGCUGAGCUGACUCAGCCAUUUGCGCAGAUGCUCUAUGAACUGCAAAUGGCCUUCGGGGCUAUGGAAUAAGUAGAGCUGUCAGCACUUAGAUACGAUGGGAUAAUACAAUUUGAUCUAAUUCAGAACAUGAUUAACAAAGUAAAUUGUCACUGACAGAUACAACUGCAGGAUACAAGAAAACAACUACUAUGCUCUUGUUUCAAAAACUUAGCGAGAUGGGAGACAUCUCAUGGUUGUUUUUUUUAUCUAGCAUCCAUGGAAACAAUACCACAAGAUUGGGGCAGCAAUGCGCCAUUGCUCAUACUGCAUUGAAUCACUUAUUGACUGUAUAAGCUCAGAAAAAAAUCUGCAGCUGCCUCUUUCAGUAAAGAAGCAUCUUGCCAAUGUUUGCCUGAAGCCGAGUUCAGAAUCGUCUUAAGUUCUGAAAGAGUCGGCCAGUUCAUUCAAUUAUCGAGCAUAGAUUAUUUAGUCGAGAGCAUGAAAAACUCCGUAGAUGAGCUUCAGAAUGCAUUGAGCUCGCUCCCACAAGAAGCAACUGUGAGGAUCAUGGAGGCGUUACUUCUCCUCAAUCAUCAUAAUGGCUUCUCUGCUAAUUGUGAGAUAUCAUAGAGAAUUGAAGGGGUUGCCAAUGCUACAAAGGAGGUCACUGGACUGUCUUUUUUCAGGCCUGAUGAUGGUGAUGAGGGACUCAAGGUUCCAAACAAGGUGCCGUGGCUUGAAACUUCUCAACUAUUGCCAAGUGCUCUGUCACAAUGGUGAGAAAGCAUUCAGAAUUUGCAGAUCUUCUUGUAAGCAUUCAGAGUUAGCCUUCCCCUCCCAUUAUUCAACUAACUUAUGGUCAGAUUAUAAAAAAGAAUUUAUUUAUUUUAUUAAAAUUUGUAGAUGAAAAAAAUAUAUAAUUUAUUAAUGAAUAAUUUGAUCGUCUUAAAAGA